rnacentral:rRNA from 1 species
GGGGGGGGGGGGGGGGGGGCGGGGGGCGGGGGGGGCGGGCGGGAGGGGCGGGUGGGGGGGGGGGGCGGGGGGCGGGCGGGGGGGUGACACGUGGGUAAGCUGCCCUUGACUUUGGGAUAACUUCAGGGAACUGGGGCUGAUACCGGAUAGGGGCUCCUGCUGCAUGGUGGGGGUUGGAAAGUUUCGGCGGUUGGGGAUGGACUCGCGGCUUAUCAGCUUGUUGGUGGGGUAGUGGCUUACCAAGGCUUUGACGGGUAGCCGGCCUGAGAGGGUGAGCGGCCACAUUGGGACCGAGAUAUGGCCCCGACUCCUACGGGAGGCAGCAGUGGGGAAUAUUGCACAAUGGGUGGAAGCCUGAUGCAGCAACGCCGUGUGCGGGAUGACGGCCUUCGGGUUGUAAACCGCUUUCGCUCAUGACGAAGCUUUGUGUGACGGUAGUGGGUAAAGAAGCGCCGGCUAACUACGUG